GUCCAGAGAUGGGAAUCGAACCCACAGUGUUCCGCUUACUGGGCAGAUGCCAUGUCAACUAGACUACCCUGGA
rnacentral:tRNA from 1 species